GUAGGAUGAACGGGCUGGACCUCUCGGGGUUACAGCCUUGCUGAAUUAUUCACCCUUGUCUUUUGCGUACUUCUUGUUUCCUUGGUGGGUUCGCCCACCACUAGGACAAACAUAAACCUUUUGUAAUUGCAAUCAGCGUCAGUAACAAAUUAAUAAUUACAACUUUCAACAACGGAUCUCUUGGUUCUGGCAUCGAUGAAGAACGCAGCGAAAUGCGAUAAGUAGUGUGAAUUGCAGAAUUCAGUGAAUCAUCGAAUCUUUGAACGCACAUUGCGCCCUUUGGUAUUCCAAAGGGCAUGCCUGUUCGAGCGUCAUUUGUACCCUCAAGCUUUGCUUGGUGUUGGGCGUCUUGUCUCUAGCUUUGCUGGAGACUCGCCUUAAAGUAAUUGGCAGCCGGCCUACUGGUUUCGGAGCGCAGCACAAGUCGCACUCUCUAUCAGCAAAGGUCUAGCAUCCAUUAAGCCUUUUUUUCAACUUUUGACCUCGGAUCAGGUAGGGAUACCCGCUGAACUUAAGCAUAUCAA
rnacentral:rRNA from 1 species